GGGCAGAUGGCACUAGCCUGGAGAUAACUUGUCUCCAGCCCUGGGUCAGGCCUCUGGGCCUCAGGGGUCCUUCCUAUGGCUGGAAGGUCCAUCUGGCAACUCUUGAACGUGGAGAAAGGAGAGCAGCCGUCACAGAAAGUCACCACAGCUUCAUCGGGAAGACUCCUCAGGUCUCCACAAGGCUCCUGGGUCAACGGAUGGGGGACCUGGAAGAUACAGCUGAUUUCAGCCGUGGCAAAGUGUCUGAUAAAGCCUUUUCAGAGCCGAUUGUUAAAUGUUCAGUAGAUGCAAUAGGG